UACAGAGGUCCCGAGCGUUGUUCGGAUUCAUUGGGCGUAAAGGGUGCGUAGGCGGCUUCCUAAGUUUGAUGUGAAAUCCUGGGGCUCAACCCUGGAACUGCAUUGAAUACUGGGAGGCUAGAGUACUGGAGAGGAAACUGGAAUUUACGGUGCAGCAGUGAAAUGCGUAGAGAUCGUAAGGAAGACCAGUGGCGAAGGCGAGUUUCUGGACAGUUACUGACGCUGAGGCACGAAGGCCAGGGGAGCAAACGGG
rnacentral:rRNA from 1 species